CCUCUCUCCUCGAUACGGGACUAGCAGCUCAUGAACACUCCAAUUCCCCGAACUGAGAAUCAGCCGAAAUCCUUCUCUCCUGGAACAGGCAAAAGAAUACUCCAAAGUAGCAAUCCCCCCAAACACGAGACCAAGCUCCGUCUUGAGGGUAAAACAGGAUUCUGGUUUAUUGAGGGCUACCUGCCAGGUAUUUAUGCAGGUCUCCCACCUGGUGGACACUCCCCUGGGGGACCAGAUGGAAGACUGGGACAAAUGAG